UGAGGCCAUCUUCCAUUAGAGGACAGUGGUAAGAGCUAUUGCUAAUUAUGUCACAGACAUCAGAGAAAAGUUGCUGAAAGAGGGACUCUCAGUGCCCGGAAGAUGGUGUAGGAAGAUGUUGAUUCUUCUCAAGUCACCAGCUGCAGCAUCGUGUGGUUUUGGUUUCUGCUGCAGAAACUGCUCCUGCUGGUGAUGGAGUGAGCACAAAGAGCGGACGGAGCUGCUGCUGCCCAGAAUGUGAGCCCCAAAGGACCUCGUUGGCUCGAGGAGGAGAUAUUUGCUCACACCAGCAUAACCUCUCUCCACUGUCAGUAUUUCCUUUGGUCGUGCUGGGACUUCUGAGGACAGCCCGGGCUGUUUGAGGACAUCCUGGGCUCAAGCCAUUUGCUCCUGAAUGAAGAUGCUCUUGAUGGACCGUUUUGUUCUUUGCAGCAGCAGGAAUGAGCCUGGAAGCGGAGGAAUCGGCUCCGAGAAUCCGAGAAGGAAUGGCAUUCCUUGGUCUUUCCCCCUCAGCAUGCCCUGACUGGAAGCUCUGGCUGUCAAUGGUACCCAGAGAGAGUUUUGUUGGUGAAAAAUGUUCCUUGGAGCCCUCCCAUGCAGGUGCUGAGAGAAUGAGCCAGUUGUUUGGAGAAUUGUUGUCUUCCCCAUGGACAGGUGCCAUUUUGAGUGAAACCAUCUCAGACACAGCAUACAACUUUUGCAGACGUUGCACAGCACCAUGGCAAAGAACAGACCUCGAAGUUCACAAACCGAGUGGAAAUUGUCAGAUAUUUGUGAGUUGGUGGAUAAUUGACAUCAGGAAAUGUUUGCAACUGGCUGCUUAUGAAAGCCUUUGAGGAGCUCCGGACCCUGCGAUUCCUUCCCUUCUGACAAACCCCAUUUCUAGCAGGUCUGUGUUUGCAGUUGGGGCAAUUUCACUGGCUCAUGCUCAUUGGCAAAGCACGAGGUUUAUGACCCUACCAAUGCCUUGGUGGCUUUUCUUCUCUUCUUAGAUACGUCUUAGAGGAUACCUCAGCUGUAAUGGGGUGAGCCAAGGUCUGGAAUGAGGGGCAAGCUGAAAGAGCUCAAUCUGUUUGACUUGCUGAAAAGCAAGCUUGGAGGCAACGUGAUCAUGGUAAGUAAUUCCCUGCCCCAGGAGGAGAUUUCUGAUGUGUAACAGAUACAGGAAGAUCCAGUGGAUGGAAGUUGAAGCUAGGCUGGAA
rnacentral:lncRNA from 1 species